CAAGUACUCCCUCCGUUCGGAAUUACUUAUCUCAGAAAUGGAUGUAUCUAGAACUAAAAUACGUCUAGAUACAUCCAUUUUUGCGACAAGUAAUUCCAAACGGAGGGAGUAGCAA
rfam:Triticum aestivum genome assembly, contig: Triticum_aestivum_CS42_TGACv1_scaffold_433867_5DL